AAAACAAGAUUAUAUAAAAAGAAAUUUUCAUAUAAGUGGAUGAAAAAAGAAUUGUUUUUAUUAUUUGUUAAAGUGAGAUAUGAUUUUCACCGUUUGUCUUUUCAGUUGCUUUAGACCAAAAUAUUCUUAAUAGGAGCAACCAAACCACACAACACUUGAUUUCGGUUUAGUUUAUGUGGUUCAGUUUUGAGAAAAAAAAAAAAACUGAAACAAAGAAAUUGAAGAAGAAGAAAAAGAGAAAGAGACGGAGAAAUUCGAGAGAGAAGUAGAAAGAAGUUGAAAAUUCAUUAUCCACUCCUUCAUAUUUCGACAUCUCUCCAUUGAACUCCAAAAUUGAGGAACAAAUUUCUUGUUUUCAGAGAUGAACAAAAUGCAAAAAAAAAGCUCAUACAUUCAAACACUUUAACUUUUUAGACUAAAGAUACUUUAGGUUUACAAGAUUUAUUUAUAAAUAGUAAUCCAAACGUAAAAAAAAAUGAGAUUUUGAGAAAACUGAUAAAGACGACCGCAAAAUUAGGUUUGCAGAAAAGGACACACAGGUUGAAGAUGACUGGAAAAUUACAAUUAUACCCUUCAUCGAAUUUUUUCCGUGUACGUAUAUUCAAUUUACAAUGUACUUACACGAAAUUAUUUAUUGGAACGUAUAUGGGACGAUUUCUAAUAACUCAAACUAUUUUAUUACUUAUUCUUAUAUCUCAAUAAUCUCAAUACAUACAUAAUAAUUUAAUAAAAAUAGAUGGUGAAAUAAUGUAAGUAUAUUUUUGUUGGUAAAUUAAUGUAUGUACAUGUGUAAUAAUAUACGUACAUCUUUGUUUGUGAAUUAAAU
rnacentral:sRNA from 1 species